rnacentral:lncRNA from 1 species
UAAUUCUCUGGGUUGCACUUGCACAUUUGGCCGAAGGAGCUGCUGCUGGGUCAGAUCUUUAACUGUGGCUCCACUCAGCACGGCUAUGCCAUCUUACAGGGGCUUCUGCUUUCCAGCCUACCUAGGCGUCCAGAACCCAAAGCGCCUUGGGAAGCGGAGGUCCCCGGGGUGGCCGGGUGCUGGGGCGCAGGGUGAUGGGUUCUUUCUCCAAGCGACGCACAGGUCCCUCCCUAGCCGGGCAGGGGAGAGGCUCACCAGCCAUCCUCCCGGCCAGCACCCCGCAGAGAACGAGGCACCGCGGGCGAGCACUUGACGGCUUCGCCCCUUUCCGAGUUUCUCCACGGAGUGCCCGCGCCUCAGGGCGCCCGGCGAGCGCUCCCCGGCCAGCCAACGUCACCGGACGCGGGGUUCCCGGAGACGCGUGCGGUGCGGGUUCCGCCCAGGACCAUCCCCCCCUCCCCAGAAGACAGGAAAGCUGAACAAAACGUUGAUGUGAAGGCUUCGCAGCUGGGGAAGCGUCAGGAAGCCCCAGGCGGACCCUGGGGACCGUGCAGGGAGCCGCGGCGGUGGACUUGGAGAGCCCUUCCCCGGAACUGCCCUGUGUGGAUGAUGGUCUCAGAGAAUUUCCAGGUUGGAAUGUGAUGAGUUUUGUGCGGGCAAGGCUCGUGCCUCAUGUCUUUGCAGGGUCUCCUUACGAAAAGAUGGUAUUGUAAAAAUUGUAGUUGAAAUAAAAUCCCGUGAGAGGUCAAUCUGGAGAUGAAGCAACUAAUACCUAUGCCACACACUUGUAACGCGAACAACCACUUAAACGAGUUUUGGUUCUUCUGGACGGGUUUUCUUAGGAGCUGAAUUCUAGUGUGGACUAUGUGCUCCAGCUUGUGGGUUGUUUCUAAAUCUCAGUCAUUCAUCCUGCAACGUAAAUGUUAUUGUCCCUAUCUUACAGGUGACCGUACUUGAGGCUCAAACACAGAUUACCUUUCAAAACAAGAAUCUGAACCAGGUUUAGAAGGCUAUGAGCACUGAAUAUCCCAUUGUACUGUCUCACUUUUUUUUGCAAUUGCUAUUUAUCCUCCACUGAUAUUGCUUUUUUUAAAAAAAAUUAUAAAUACACAAUUUAAAUGACUAAAAUUAUAUCGUUUAUCAUAUUAGUGUGGGAAAGACCAGACUGUUCUUUUGCAAAGGAUACCUUUGGUCCCUGCAGGUCCCGUGAUAUAUCCAAACCUUGACAAGUGAUAGAUACCCGAUUUAGUGUAAUAAUGAAAUGUUCCAUUGUAGUAGAAUUGAAGUGCAUGGUUUCCAUAUUGAGACAUACUUUCCUAUUGGCUAGAUCUUUAAGCUGUAGUUUUAUAGGGGGAAACACUGGUAGCUAUUAUCAUCUCCAUUUUUUGAAAGGGAUAUACUAGUGGUAUAUAUGUUAUAGGCAAGUUGAUGAAUUGAACAUCAUCAUAAAUUCAUGUACAAUAGUUAUUAUGGUUUAAAAAGCCAAGCAAACCACACAGUUUUAGUGUUAUACUUAGCCCACUUAGUAUAUUGUGUCAGACAUUAAAAUGGAUAGACGUUCGAAUGAAUCGGUGAGCAUUCUUAUUCACAAUUUUUUCUAUUUUGGAUCCUUGUUCAAUUACAUUUUUUAUAAGAGUAGUAUGGGCCUUACUUGUUGCCUUUCAAAAUAACAUUUUAUGUAAAACUGAACUCAACUCAGACUUUCAAGCAAGAAAAAUAUUUUUACGGAGAUGGUCUAAAUGAUAUGUAAAUAUUCCACCAAAAUUAUUAUUGGAAUUUAUAAAUACUGUUGAAUUUAUGCGUAUAACCUCCCAUGAUACCUUUUCUGGUAUAGCCCUUACAUUUUCUGACUACAGCAUAAGUGCCUUACCUUUCUAGUCCAUGAGCUUCUUAUUUUUUUUUAAGACUUAUUUUUAAUUUAUUUCUCUCCCCUCCUCCCCAACCCCCC